UGAUAUUACUAGGUGAACGACAAGGUAAUCAUCAAAAGUGGAUGGUCAGCAUUGAAUCCUUAAUCGUUUGUGAAGGGUCCAACCUCGCCACAUUUCUAACAGGGAUUGUGACAUGUUUCUCCACCUUCUAUAUUCUGAAUCUGCAAUAUCAGGAGGAGGCAGCGUGCACCCUUGAAUUCUUCCAGAGAAAAAGGCCCACAAUUGAUAAUUGAUAAAUAUCUGUGAUGAUUAUUCUGUAUCUGAUUUUGAAAUAGUACUACUUUAGAUAACAUGUCUACAUUUUACAUACAUAUGUGAUACACAAGCCUAAUGCGAUGUUUUUAUUUUCCAUGAUAAUUCUUUUGUACCUU